rnacentral:lncRNA from 1 species
CACACACACACACACACGUACGUUAUUAGCGGAUGUUUGUAACUUCAUGUCCCUGUGGCCUGAUACUCUUUCACUCUGAUAGUGUUCAGACUGGAAUGUGUGUAUUCCCCUGAAGUCAUUUUGAUGCUCUGCACCACCACAGAGACACUAAGACCAGGCAGACAGCAGUGAGAAUAGACAGUAGGGGAGAUAAGAGGAGAGACAGUAGGGGAGAUAAGAGAAGAGACAGUAGGGGAAAUAAGAGGAGAGACAGUAGGGGAGAUAAGAGGAGAGACAGUAGGGGAGAUAAGAGAAGAGACAGUAGGGGAAAUAAGAGGAGAGACAGUAGGGGAGAUAAGAGAAGAGACAGUAGGGGAGAUAAGAGAAGAGACAGUAGAGGAAAUAAGAGGAGAGACAGUAGGGGAGAUAAGAGAAGAGACAGUAGGGGAAAUAAGAGGAGAGACAGUAGGGGAAAUAAGAGGAGAGACAGUAGGGGAGAUAAGAGGAGAGACAGUAGGGGAGAUAAGAGGAGAGACAGUAGGGGAGAUAAGAGGAGAGACAGUAGGGGAGAUAAGAGGAGAGACAGUAGGGGAGAUAAGAGGAGAGACAGUAGGGGAGAUAAGAGAAGAGACAGUAGGGGAGAUAAGAGGAGAGACAGUAGAGGAUGUCUGACGAUGAUGUGAAAAACAGAUCAAACCACUUCCCAUUUAACUGGAGGAAAGCAACCAGCCAACCAGAGACCAGACACUAGCAGCAACCAGCCAACCAGAGACCAGACACUAGCAGCAACCAGCCAACCAGAGACCAGACACUAGCAGCAACCAGCCAACCAGAGACCAGACACUAGCAGCAACCAGCUACAAGCAGAUAGUCCCUUUUCAUGUUCAAGAUGACUGUUUCCCACAUAGCAGAUACAAACAGAAAUCCAUGAGUAUGACACAAAAGAGUGAGGGUUAUGGUUACAGUACAGCCUGUACCAGACCAGAACAUGUUGAGGUGGUUUGGCUGAAGGUACAGUACAGCCUGUACCAGACCAGAACAUGCUGAGGUAGUUUGGCUGAAGGUAUAGUACAGCCUGUACCAGACCAGAACAUGUUGAGGUGGUUUGGCUGAAGGUAUAGUACAGCCUGUACCAGACCAGAACAUGUUGAGGUAGUUUGGCUGAAGGUACAGUACAGCCUGUACCAGACCAGAACAUGCUGAGGUAGUUUGGCUGAAGGUAUAGUACAGCCUGUACCAGACCAGAACAUGUUGAGGUAGUUUGGCUGAAGGUACAGUACAGCCUGUACCAGACCAGAACAUGUUGAGGUGGUUUGGCUGAAGGUAUAGUACAGCCUGUACCAGACCAGAACAUGUUGAGGUGGUUUGGAUGAAGGUACAGGAUAGAGGAAGCUUACUUCAGUCUUCACUAAAACCACAAUCUCAAGUGCAUUGUUUUCCCCCAUAGACUUGUAUAAUGGCUGGUUUCCCCCAGAGACUUGUAUAUGGGGGAAACCAGUGAUUGCCAACAAGGGUUUUGCAAGUGCUAAGUCAUGUUUUGCAGAGGUGUCAAAUACUUAUUUCCCUCAUUAAAAUGCAAAUCAAUUUAUAACAUUUUUGACAUGUGUUUUUCUGGAUAUUUUUGUUGUUAUUCUGUCUCUCACUGUUCAAAUAAACCUACCAUUAAAAUUA